rnacentral:rRNA from 1 species
AAGGCCUACGGGGGGCAGCAGUAGGGAAUUUUCGUCAAUGGGCGCAAGCCUGAACGAGCGAUGCCGCGUGAGUGAAGAAGGCCUUCGGGUCGUAAAGCUCUGUUGCGGGGGAAAAAAGGCAGCAUCAGGAAAUGGGUGCUGACUGAUGGUGCCCCGCCAGAAAGUCACGGCUAACUACGUGCCAGCAGCCGCGGUAAUACGUAGGUGGCGAGCGUUAUCCGGAUUUAUUGGGUUUAAAGGGUGCGUAGGCGGUUCGAUAAGUUAGAGGUGAAAUCCCGGGGCCCAACUCCGGCACUGCCUCUGCU